UCUCCCUUGCGCCACCCAGAAAGACUCAUGCCUUUUCUCAUCGCACAAAAUUAGUUUGUGUGUGAGAAAAUCAGAAGCUAAUACCCUUUUUGUCACCCAUUUUGGAUAAGUAGUAGUUGUUUGGGUUUGAAUUCAACUGGGACUUUGAAUUUAAACCAAACUUCUUAUCCUACUCUACCCACCCACUGGCCCUUGUGAAGAUGCCUAUUUUGUGCGACAAAAGGAUAGUUUCAGAUUUAUUUUGAAAGAAUAAUACCCUACAAGUCAAUCGCAUAUGAGAUACGAUAGGAUGUUUAUUGUAAUUUAUCUUUCAGACUCAUGUAAUUAAUAUUUAUGAUUAAUUAAAUAAUAUAUUUUUAUUUCAUUAUAUGCUACAUCUUAUUUAUUUAAGAUUAUAAUGAACCCCAUAAGUUUGGACAAUGAUUUUAGGAUCGUGAUGAGAUCACGCCAGUGAGACCUAAUUCCUUAAUAGUCCUAACCUAAAAUAUUUCUAGUCAUUGGUAUAUUAAGUCGGAGAUUAAUGAUACUGGUAAAACUGGCAUGUCCUAUAUAUGCUCAGAAAUGAGAGUAGUUGAUCUCACAACUACUUGUAUGGUGACACUAAUACAAGGAUAUGGGUGCUCAUUAAAGAAUGAGUUCACUGAAUUAACCUGUGAGCGAAUAUCAAAUGGAGUCUUAUUUACAUGUCAACUGAUAUUUCUCUAAUGAGAAUUGUGUAUAUGAUCCUUAGACCUAAGGUCACCAUGGUACCUUAUGUACUUGAUCUAUAUUUUGGUUCACUACCUAACUUGGUUCUCUAAUCUGUAUGUGGGGUGUUCUGGAUAUGGUGAAGAGUGCAUGGAGAUUUGAGUGAUCAAUAAGGGAUCAGUCACUCCUAAUAAGGAGAGCGAAUAUCCUAUAUGAUGUCAUAAGUCAUUGAUCAAAAGUCUUUGACCAAAGCAGGGUGAUAAUUAGAAAAAAUUUUUUAAUAUAUCAUUAACUGAAUCAAUACCUUCAGAUCAAGAUACAUAAUGAUAAAUAAUUAAAUUUGAUAUAUUUUUAUAUCCACAGCUCAUCUGAGAUGUUGUUUGACUGAAGAAUUGUAUUACAUGGAAACUUGCCACUGAAGGAUAUUUUGAUAAUUUUUUAUCAAAAUUUUAAAUCUUUUGGAUAGUCAUAACACGUUGCUAGAUUUCAAUCUUAACUUGUAGAUUCGUCAUAAUUAAAAAAAUUUAAUGCUGAAGUCAAUUUGGAAGAGUCCAAGUUGAUUGGGACUCUUCCAGUGACCUAAUCAUCGGAUUAAGGUUACGUCGAAAGUUGAUCCACUAUUGGCUAGAUUUAGAAUCCAAUAGGUCACAUACUUUAGGAUUUGGCCUUGAUCUAAUAUAAUUAGAGUUUAAUAUAAAUUUUAUAGGUUAAUUUGAUAUGCUAGUACAUUGUAUUAACCCAAAUUCCUAAAUUGAUUUGGUUCAAAGUGUUUGAGCUAACCUAAACCAAUUGCCUUUUGACCUAAUGGGAUUGGGUCAAUUUGGAUUGGAUCCUUAUCUAACUUGAACCAAUUUCAAGUGAAGAAGAACUCCCCUUCAUCCACUAGAACCCAUGCAUAAAAUAAAUGCCGUCCCCUUUAUUUUUGGCAUGUGAAAAGAAGAGUCCUUAAAGAAGACUCUUAAUUUUUACGUAUUGCCAUAAUUUUCCAAUCAGAUCUCCUAUGUUUUGAUGCCAAAAUUAAUUAAAUUUUUUAUGACACAUAGAGAAGAAAGAGUCCUGCUAAAAAUAUCUAGAAUACUAAAAAUUCACUUGGUAAAUUUAUUUGGUGCAUGGGAAGUUGGAGCACCAAAAGUUGGCGCCUCUUCAUCCCAUGUGACAUCCCUUGGUCCCCUAUGUAUAGGGGAUGCCCCACAUGAUUUUCUGCUGAGAUUUUUAGCUAAAAUUAGAGAGAAGAGAAUGUGGUAAAUAUAAGAAAAAUUUUAAAAAAAAAUUGAGAAAAAAAAAAUUUGAGUGGCAAAAGUUGCAAGAAGGAUGGUGAGAUUUUCAGCAAGUGUUGCUUGAGUGCACUAGGGUUUGAUUUUUCCAUAUAUUGGAGCCAAAAAUCAAAUCCUAGAUUGUGUGAUAUCUAAAGAGUGUCUUC
rnacentral:lncRNA from 1 species